AUGAACGCUGGCGGCGUGCCUAAUACAUGCAAGUCGAGCGAACAGACGAGGAGCUUGCUCCUCUGACGUUAGCGGCGGACGGGUGAGUAACACGUGGAUAACCUACCUAUAAGACUGGGAUAACUUCGGGAAACCGGAGCUAAUACCGGAUAAUAUAUUGAACCGCAUGGUUCAAUAGUGAAAGACGGUUUUGCCGUCACUUAUAGAUGGAUCCGCGCCGCAUUAGCUAGUUGGUAAGGUAACGGCUUACCAAGGCAACGAUGCGUAGCCGACCUGAGAGGGUGAUCGGCCACACUGGAACUGAGACACGGUCCAGACUCCUACGGGAGGCAGCAGUAGGGAAUCUUCCGCAAUGGGCGAAAGCUUGACGGAGCAACGCCGCGUGAGUGAUGAAGGUCUUCGGAUCGUAAAACUCUGUUAUUAGGGAAGAACAAAUGUGUAAGUAACUAUGCACGUCUUGACGGUACCUAAUCAGAAAGCCACGGCUAACUACGUG
rnacentral:rRNA from 1 species